rnacentral:lncRNA from 1 species
UUACAAUAGAGUUUCAUAUUGUGAUAUGUUUACAUGAUUACUCUCUAGAUAGAAAUGUCGCUAAAGCUUUUGCCCCUGCUAAGAUCCAUGUACCUCCUGGGAAGUCCCAUAAGAACUCCGAGGUUAAGCGUGCUUGGGCAAGAGUAGUACUAGGAUGGGUGACCUCCUGGGAAGUCCUCGUGUUGCAUUCCUUUCUUCAUCUUUAUCAACGCAAUGAGCACAACCAUGGGUCGAUUCAAUAAAGAAAAAGGAAACUGUACAAGGAACUGCAGUGCGAUAUUUGUUCUGAGCAGUUUGGAUAAGAGUUUGGCUAUUAGGAUUUGAUAAAUUUGAGGCUUCAAUUUGCAAGCUCGAGGUCAUCCUGAAGGCUGAAGC